UCUCCCAGAGGGUAGAACAGUUCAGUCGGCUUCCUGGCCUUUCAUGUGUGGCUUUGCCAAGACCGUUGUGCUCGGGAGGAGGGAGGGGGCAACGCUCUCUCUGUCCCAACCCCAGGGUCUGUUGGAGAUCCAGGGAUUCAGAGGAGUAUCUGUAGGGCCAGAGGCCUCACACAGCCUCCAGAAUGUCAUUGCCAGGCAGCUUGCCCUUUCCCGAAGAGUCGACCCAACAGUGCCUCUGUGAAUAGGAAAGUUAUGAAAAGAGCCCGAUCAACACAGUCAGGAGGGCUCAACAGCUUCCAAAAUUGUCCUCACCGUGUGAAAUGCAGUAAGUUCUACCAGGGAACAGGACAGACGUGACUGAAACACCCUUCAGGCUUUGUCAGACCACAGUGCCCCCCGCAAUACCGCUUUCAUCCCCCGCCUCUGGGACAACCUCAGGAGAAGACCUCAAAUUCUGAAUGUUGACAGGCAGACUCUGAUCCCCGAGUCAACUUCUAGCCAGCAAAUUCUCCAAAUAUGAUUACCUCCAGUAUAUGAGCUCAUUUCUCUGCACUUACUCCCAAAUGGUCGACAUCGAUUUGCGACAUUAAUGAAGUCCCCUUUAUGAUCACCCUUGUCCCACCUCACAGUAGAUGUGGAAAUAAUGCUGCCCAGCUAUUCCUUCUACAAAGGACUUGCCUAUGGUGGGCUGAAAGAUGACCCCCAAAAGAUAUGUCCAUCUGGAACCUCAGAAUGUUACUUAUAUGGAAUAAAGGUUUUUGUAUAUUAUUAAUUCCUGGAUUACAGUAGAUCAUCAAUCCAGUGACAAAUGUCCUAAUAAGAAGCUGAAGGACAGAAAACAGCUACAGAGAUACAGAAGGGAGGCCAUGUCAAGACAGACAGAGAGCAGAGUGAUGAGUCUCCAAGCCAAGGGGCACCAAGGGGUGCCGGGAGCCAGCAGGACCUGCAAGACAGGCGUGGAACAAAUUCUCCCCCAGAGCCUCCAGAAGGACCCACCCCUGCUGACAGCUUGAUUUCGGACUUCUGGCCUGCAGAACUAUGAGAGAAUAAAUUUCUGUGACUUGAAGCCACCAAGUUGGCGGACCUAGAAAAUGAAUUUAUUCCUCUCUGUGGGGAGCUCCUUCAGGGCUGGCCUCAGCUGCAGGGGGCCACCCUGACUGCAGUCACACCCUUCCCAGGACAGCCCCACAUCUGGAGACGGGGCAUGUGGGGUACCUGUCUCCAAGACAACUCCGAGGGGCAGUGUUCACUUCAGAGCAGCCUGCUGGGGAGCUGUCACCAAUUUCCUCUCAUGCAGGCUUGCUUCCUCUUCCUUCUUUGCACGUGUAUUGAUCUUGAGAAAACAUCCCGCUCCCCACGUUCUGUCUCAGCAUCUGCUUCCAGAGAACUCAACCUGCUAUGCAAAAGCAAUGCACCCUUUUGACCCAUCUCAGGUUUACUACCGUGCAUUGCCUCAGAGUAUUACAAUUCCCUGGAGGACAAUCAGACAACUCCAAGUAUUGAUGUUGAUGUUGCUCUAACAAAAGAGUUUCUAUUCCCAUUUACUUAUUUAUAUAAACCAGUUUUCUCAGCAUUUAUAUCUGUAAACUUCAAACAUAGGAACAGGUUUGGUGCGGAACCUUACCUCAUCUUAGGUAAUAUUCAUCCGUGCAUAUGUGAAAUAAUUGGAAGAAAUAAAAUGCCAUCUAUCUCGUAUAGGUAGGCGUUUUAAAUAAAAUUUUAGUUUUAUGAUGAAUAUGAUUCAG